rnacentral:rRNA from 1 species
CUACGGGCUGCUCCAGCUAAGAAUCUUCCGCAAUGGGCGCAAGCCUGACGGAGCGACGCCGCGUGAAUGAUGAAGGCCGCGAGGUUGUAAAGUUCUUUUCCUAGGGAGGAAUAAUAAUAGAAGGAAAUGUCUAUUAGAUGACGUUAACUAGGGAAUAAGCCCCGGCUAAUUACGUGCCAGCAGCCGCGGUAACACGUAAGGGGCAAGCGUUGUUCGGAAUUAUUGGGCGUAAAGGGUGCGUAGGCGGAUUAUCAAGCCUGAUGUGAAAGACCACAGCUUAACUGUGGGAACGCGUUGGGAACUGGUAGUCUAGAAUGAUUGAGGGGUAACCGGAAUUUCUAGUGUAGGGGUGAAAUCUGUAGAUAUUAGAAAGAACACCAAUGGCGAAGGCAGGUUACUGGCAGUCUAUUAACGCUAAGGCACGAAAGCGUGGGGAGCAAACAGGAUUAGAUACCCGGGUAGUC